GACUCUGGAGAGCGCCGCGUUGCAGCCAGCGAAGGGGCAAAGCUCUCAGGCACCAGAACAGAGGGGC
rnacentral:ncRNA from 1 species